GGCGGAGGAGAGCAGUGACUGACUGCCCGAGGCCGGGCACGGGCGCCGGGAGCCCUGAGCUGGCAGCAGCCGCCCGCGGGCUCCGCGCAGCAUGAGCUGGUGCGGCAGCGGUGAAGGGUGGAGUUGGGCUCCCUUCGUGGAAGGUCCCAGUACUUCCAGGCAGCAGAACCAGCCUCAAGGGCACUAUGGACUUACCUCUCCAAUUAGCUUGGCUCCUCCUAGUGACAAAGACCACAUCCAUACUCAGAAGCUGAUUGAAGCAAUGAAGCCAUUUGGGGUGUUUGAGGAUCAGGAAGAACUCUAUCACAGGACAACUGUUCUUGGUAAACUGAAUAACUUUGUUAGAGAAUGGAUUUCAGAGCUUGCUGAAAGCAAGAAUCUUCCCCCUUCAAUAACAGAGCAAGUUGGUGGCAAAAUAUUUACAUUUGGCUCCUACAGACUUGGAGUACACACCAAAGGUUCAGACAUAGAUGCUCUUUGUGUUGCUCCCAGUCACGUGGAAAGAUCAGAUUUUUUUCAGUCAUUCUUUGAAAAACUGAAGAAUCAAGAGGAAGUAAAAAACCUGAGAGCCAUUGAGGAUGCAUAUGUACCUGUUAUCAAAUUUGAAUUUGAUGGCAUUGAGAUUGAUCUGGUGUUUGCAAAGCUCUCUUUGCCCACGGUUUCUGAUGAUCUCGAUCUCAGGGAUGACUCGUGCCUCAAAAGCCUGGACAUAAGAUGCAUACGGAGCCUGAAUGGCAGCAGGGUUACGGAUGAAAUACUGCGCCUGGUGCCCAACCUGGAGAACUUCCGGCUCACGCUCCGUGCGGUUAAACUGUGGGCAAAACGACGUGGUGUUUACUCCAACAUCAUGGGAUUUCUUGGUGGAGUCUCCUGGGCCAUGCUGGUAGCAAGAAUAUGUCAACUCUACCCAAAUGCUUUGGCCUCUACUCUCGUUAACAAGUUCUUCUUGAUUUUUUCAAAAUGGGAUUGGCCAAAGCCAGUAUUGCUGAAACGACUUGAAGAGAGCUUCCUUAAUUUACCAGUCUGGGACCCUAGGGUGAACCCUUCAGACAGGUACCACGUGAUGCCCAUCAUCACCCCGGCCUAUCCACAGCAGAACUCCACGUACAACGUGUCUGUGUCAACACGAGCAGUCAUGGUAGAGGAGUUCCAACGUGGUCUUGAAGUUACAGAUGAGAUUCUCAAAGGAAAAUCAGACUGGCCAAAGCUCUUUGAACCACUGAACUUCUUUCAGAAGUACAAACAUUACAUUGUGCUGACUGCCAGUGCCUUUACAGAAGAGCAUCACCUAAACUGGAUUGGCCUCGUUGAGUCUAAAAUCCGUGUGCUGGUUGGAAACUUGGAGAGGAAUGAAUUUAUAACUAUAGCACACGUGCAGCCACAGUCUUUCCCUGGCAAUGAAGUUCUCUAUAAACAGAGUGGAUAUGUAUCAAUGUGGUUUCUUGGGCUUGUGUUUAAGAAGGCAGAAAGUGCAGUAAAGACUAACGUUGAUCUAACACAUGGGAUACAGUCAUUCACAGAUACAGUUUACAGGCAGGCCAGUGCCCUCAACAUCCUAAAGGAAGGUAUGAAGAUUGAGGCAACUUAUGUGAAGAGAAAGCAACUCCAUUAUUUUUUGCCAGCAGGAACCUUACAGAAAAGAAAGAAGCAAAGGGUGUCAGAUAUUAGUCAAAAUAAUAGUGGACUUCAGUGCAAAAGGUCUUCUUUAGGUGAAAGCUGUUUGGAUGGUUCCCAAGACAGAGAUUCCAGAACACCCUCUAAUUCCUCUUCGUUAAAUAAGAUAUCUAAGUUGGACAUCUCUACAGCAGAGACAGAAAGAAAUGUUGAAUGUCAGAGUUGUAGUGGUGCCAACAGUGUAGCUGAGCCAUCCACGUCUAAGGGACUUUGCAUUCCUGUCACUGACCCAAAAAUGGAGGCUACAGUUGCACUAAGAGCAUCGGGACCUCCCACGGGUUGCACCAUUCCAGGAUAUAACACGGUUUGUCAACUCAGAACGUGUUUUGUGCAAGGACAGCAUAAACUAAGUGGGACUCUAAUCACGGAUCCUAGGAGUGCUUCACCUGAGCAGCAUUUUUCACCAACCUCUAAAGUAUCUCGUCCACCCGCAUCAGGAGAAUGCCCCCAAAAAGCCAUAGAUGGAGAAAAGCUAAACGUGUGGGACUCAGAUUUCACAGAAAGUGGAUACACUCAAGAUGGGAGGAAGAGCACUACAAAAAAUGGUGUCCUUGAUGGAAAAUCCAUGCAGAUUCCAGUGAUCACAUCAAGAUCACAGAGGCUUUCCAGUAAAGAACUGCCAGAUUCUUCAUCUCCUGUUCCAACAAAUAGCAUUCGUAUUAUUAAAAGAUCCAUCAAACUUACCCUUAAUGGGUAAGUGGUUGAUCUUCAGUGCAGAUGGGAUCUGCUUAAAAAAAUCUAAACAACUAAACCAACUCUAAAGGGAUGGGAGGAAGGCAGUGCCAGAGAAAAGCAUUCUACAGAAUUUUAAUGUCAUAGAAUCAUUUAGGUUGGAAAAAAACCUUUAAGUUAGAGUCCAGCUAACCUAACACUGUAAACCUAACAUUGCCAAGUCCACCACUAGACUGCCAUGCUAGAGGUUUUAAGAAGAAUGUUCAGGGUUUUGAGAAGAACAUUCAGGAAGAAUUUAGGUUACUAGUUUCUCAGACUUGAUCCAUUGGUGAAUUACACGUCUUAUCUUAAUGUGUCUUGACAUAUAAGGAUGUCAAGUGUGAUGUCAAGUGACGUCAGUGUUCUGGAGUUUCCCUGGAUGCUGCAGAAGUUCGAUGCUGCCCCAGGACUCUGCAGAUUAGAAUUCAGCUGUUUGUAAAUAAAGUUCAAACUUACUCAA